UCAUCAGUAGGGUGAUCCUUACCUGUUGUCCUACGGGACACAGUGAGGACACAUGAUGAAGCAUGAGAGUAAUGAUCAGUCAUGACUUACUUUCUCUGGCUUAGACAGGAAUGCAACACCUGCUAAGACCUCUUCUGAU